GAUGAACGCUGGCGGCGUGCCUAAUACAUGCAAGUCGAGCGAACAGACGAGGAGCUUGCUCCUUUGACGUUAGCGGCGGACGGGUGAGUCACACGUAGGUAACCUACCUAUAAGACUGGGAUAACUUCGGGAAACCGGAGCUAAUACCGGAUAAUAUUUCGAACCGCAUGGUUCGAUAGUGAAAGAUGGCUUUGCUAUCACUUAUAGAUGGACCUGCGCCGUAUUAGCUAGUUGGUAAGGUAACGGCUUACCAAGGCAACGAUACGUAGCCGACCUGAGAGGGUGAUCGGCCACACUGGAAGUGAGACACGGUCCAGACGCCUACGGGAGGCAGCAGUAGGGAAUCUUCCGCAAUGGGCGAAAGCCUGACGGAGCAACGCCGCGUGAGUGAUGAAGGUCUUCGGAUCGUAAAACUCUGUUAUGAGGGAAGAACAAACGUGGAAGUAACUGUGCACGUCUUGACGGUAACUAAUCAGAAAGCCACGGCUAACUACGUG
rnacentral:rRNA from 1 species